rnacentral:rRNA from 1 species
CCUACGGGAGGCAGCAGUGAGGAAUAUUGGUCAAUGGGCGCGAGCCUGAACCAGCCAAGUAGCGUGAAGGAUGACUGCCCUACGGGUUGUAAACUUCUUUUAUAAAGGAAUAAAGUGAGGCACGUGUGCCUUUUUGUAUGUACUUUAUGAAUACGGAUCGGCUAACUCCGUGCCAGCAGCCGCGGCAAUACGGAGGAUCCGAGCGUUACCCGGAUUUAUUGGGUUUAAAGGGAGCGUAGAUGGGUUGUUAAGUCAGUUGUGAAAGUUUGCGGCUCAACCGUAAAAUUGCAAUUGAUACUGGCAGCCUUGAGUGCAGUUGAGGUAGGCGGAAUUCGUGGUGUAGCGGUGAAAUGCUUAGAUAUCACGAAGAACUCCGAUUGCGAAGGCAGCUUACUAAUCUGCCACUGACAUUGAUGCUCGAAAGUGUAGGUAGCAAACAGGAUUAGAUACCCCAGUAGUC